CCUACGGGCGGCUGCAGUGGGGAAUAUUGGACAAUGGGGGCAACCCUGAUCCAGCCAUGCCGCGUGUGUGAAGAAGGCCCUCGGGUUGUAAAGCACUUUCAGUGAGGAAGAACGCCUGGUGGUUAAUACCCAUCAGGAAAGACAUCACUCACAGAAGAAGCACCGGCUAACUCCGUGCCAGCAGCCGCGGUAAUACGGAGGGUGCGAGCGUUAAUCGGAAUUACUGGGCGUAAAGCGCGCGUAGGUGGCUUGAUAAGCCGGUUGUGAAAGCCCCGGGCUCAACCUGGGAACGGCAUCCGGAACUGUCAAGCUAGAGUGCAGGAGAGGAAGGUAGAAUUCCCGGUGUAGCGGUGAAAUGCGUAGAGAUCGGGAGGAAUACCAGUGGCGAAGGCGGCCUUCUGGACUGACACUGACACUGAGGUGCGAAAGCGUGGGUAGCAAACAGGAUUAGAUCCCCUGUAGUC
rnacentral:rRNA from 1 species